rnacentral:rRNA from 1 species
UAAAUCAGUUAUCGUUUAUUUGAUAGUACCUUACUACUUGGAUAACCGUGGUAAUUCUAGAGCUAAUACAUGCUGCAAAGCCCGACUUCGGAAGGGUUGUAUUUAUUAGAUUAAAAACCAAUGCCCUCCGGGGCUCACUGGUGAUUCAUGAUAACUUCUCGAAUCGCACGGCCUUGCGCCGGCGAUGGUUCAUUCAAAUUUCUGCCCUAUCAACUUUCGACGGCUGGGUCUUGGCCAGCCGUGGUGACAACGGGUAACGGAGGGUUAGGGCUCGACCCCGGAGAAGGAGCCUGAGAAACGGCUACUACAUCCAAGGAAGGCAGCAGGCGCGCAAAUUACCCAAUCCCGACACGGGGAGGUAGUGACAAUAAAUACUGAUACAGGGCUCUUUUGGGUCUUGUAAUUGGAAUGAGUACAAUUUAAUUCCCUUAACGAGGAACAAUUGGAGGGCAAGUCUGGUGCCAGCAGCCGCGGUAAUUCCAGCUCCAAUAGCGUAUAUUAAAGUUGUUGCAGUUAAAAAGCUCGUAGUUGAACCUUGGGCCUGGCUGGCCGGUCCGCCUCACCGCGUGCACUGGUCCGGCCGGGCCUUUCCCUCUGGGGAGCCGCAUGCCCUUCACUGGGCGUGCCGGGGAACCAGGACGUUUACUUUGAAAAAAUUAGAGUGUUCAAAGCAGGCUUAUGCUCGGAUACAUUAGCAUGGAAUAAUGGAAUAGGACGCGUGGUUCUAUUUUGUUGGUUUCUAGGACCGCCGUAAUGAUUAAUAGGGACAGUCGGGGGCAUCAGUAUUCAGCUGUCAGAGGUGAAAUUCUUGGAUUUGCUGAAGACUAACUACUGCGAAAGCAUUUGCCAAGGAUGUUUUCAUUAAUCAGGAACGAAAGUUAGGGGAUCGAAGACGAUCAGAUACCGUCGUAGUCUUAACCAUAAACUAUGCCGACUAGGGAUCGGACGGUGUUAUUCUUUGACCCGUUCGG